rnacentral:rRNA from 1 species
UACAGAGGGUGCGAGCGUUAAUCGGAAUUACUGGGCGUAAAGCGCACGUAGGUGGCGACGUAAGUCGGGUGUGAAAGCCCCGGGCUCAACCUGGGAAUUGCAUUCAAGACUGCAUUGCUGGAGUACGGAAGAGGAAGGCGGAAUUCCCGGUGUAGCGGUGAAAUGCGUAGAUAUCGGGAGGAACAUCAGUGGCGAAGGCGGCCUUCUGGUCCAGUACUGACACUCAAGUGCGAAAGCGUGGGGAGCAAACAGG